rnacentral:rRNA from 1 species
AUUGAACGCUGGCGGAAUGCUUUACACAUGCAAGUCGAACGGCAGCACGGGUGCUUGCACCUGGUGGCGAGUGGCGAACGGGUGAGUAAUGCACCGGAACGUAUCCAAUAAUGGGGGAUAACGCACCGAAAGGUGUGCUAAUACCGCAUACGCCCUGAGGGGGAAGCGGGGGAUCGUAAGACCUCGCGUUAAUGGAGCGGCCGAUGCCGGAUUAGCUAGUUGGUGAGGUAAAGGCUCACCAAGGCGACGAUCCGUAGCUGGUCUGAGAGGACGACCAGCCACACUGGAACUGAGACACGGUCCAGACUCCUACGGGAGGCAGCAGUGGGGAAUUUUGGACAAUGGGCGCAAGCCUGAUCCAGCCAUUCCGCGUGAAGUGAAGAAGGCCUU